UCGCACCUACCGAUUGAAUGAUCCGGUGAAGCCUUCGGACUUUUGUGGUUAUUCUUUAUUGGAUUCCAUGGAGGGAAGUUGUAUAAACCUUAUCAUUUAGAGGAAGGUG
rnacentral:rRNA from 1 species